rnacentral:lncRNA from 1 species
CGAACACGUAGUGUGUGUCCCCCUCGUCGUGCUGUAGGACUACGCUGCAACUUUCAUCCAUGUCCAUGUGGUUACACACAUAAUUCACCUCGCACGCGCUUACAAAUCUGCGCAGAGCUGACGAAAAAUCCCGCGCGGCACCGAUCGACAAGGGUGGAGGGGUGUCGCUGUGUAACUUUGGGUUCAAACCAACAUCAAA